GUUUCUUCCUCCUCUCUACCUUCCCUCUUCCUUAUUUCCUCUCGCCGUAUCCCACCUCUCCAAAUUUCCAUGCGAACGAGAUCGAGAUCGAGAUCGAGAUCGAGGGAGAAGAACUCGAGCGGGCAGUUGAAGCCGGGCCAUGGGAGUUUUGCUGUAACCGGAGUCGAGGGCGUGUGAUCAGGGGCUGAAGGAACAUAUCGACGCCAGAGAUUAGCAACUGGACUGGAACUUCAGUCCUCCUCAUUAGGAUUUGUCUAACAUGCCACGCCCACUGAAUGCAGAAGAGGAAGAACCCCAUACGGAGGUUCCCCAAGAGGAUUUGUCUAACAUGCCAUGCCCACUGAAUGCAGAAGAGGAAGAACCCGAUACGGAGGUUCCCCAAGGUAUGUGCAUCUCCCAAUUCCCCUUUUGUAAAAGCUUGUGCAGGAUGCUUAAUUUGUCUUCUAAUCUUCACCUAAUAAUAGGGGUAUAGGCAGGACCUCAGAUUUCUGAUAGUUAUAGAAAAACACAAAAUAAACAUGAACUAAUAGGAAGAGAGGAGCUUAAGAGUCGGUCAUUGACGAUUAAUAGAUCUUUGAAAAUGGACAGAACAAUACUCCCUAGUGUGAAAUUUAAAUUUUGAAAAGCAAUGGCUCUCUAUCCCCUCAGAUCACCUACAUAAAGAGCAUUUGCUUUUUUAAAACAGAAGCAAAUUGUGGUUUUCAAUCUGAAGAGCACAGUUUGAAAUCUGUCUCCCAUGUAUGUUAUAUAAGAAAGCCUCCAUCUG